rnacentral:rRNA from 1 species
UACGAAGGGAGCUAGCGUUGUUCGGAAUCACUGGGCGUAAAGCGCGCGUAGGCGGCGAUACAAGCCAGAGGUGAAAGCCCCAAGCUCAACUUGGGAAUUGCCUUUGGAACUGUAUUGCUAGAGUAUCGGAGGGGAUAGCGGAAUUUCUAAUGUAGCGGUGAAAUGCGUAGAUAUUAGAAGGAACACCGGUGGCGAAGGCGGCUAUCUGGACGAUUACUGACGCUAAGGCGCGAAAGCGUGGGGAUCAAACAGG